GACGAACGCUGGCGGCGUGCUUAACACAUGCAAGUCGAACGAUGGAGCCCAGCUUGCUGGGUGGAUUAGUGGCGAACGGGUGAGUAACACGUGAGUAGCCUGCCCUGGACUCUGGGAUAACCCCGAGAAAUCGGAGCUAAUACCGGAUAGGACCUUGGAUCGCAUGAUUCUUGGUGGAAAGUUUUUCGGUUUGGGAUGGACUCGCGGCCUGUCAGCUUGUUGGUGAGGUAAUGGCUCACCAAGGCGUCGACGGGUGGCCGGCCUGAGAGGGUGACCGGCCACACUGGGACUGAGACACGGCCCAGACUCCUACGGGAGGCAGCAGUGGGGAAUAUUGCACAAUGGGCGCAAGCCUGAUGCAGCAACGCCGCGUGCGGGAUGACGGCCUUCGGGUUGUAAACCGCUUUUAGUAAGGAAGAAGGGGCUUCGGCCUUGACGGUACUUGCAGAAAAAGGACCGGCUAACUACGUGCCAGCAGCCGCCGUAAAAC
rnacentral:rRNA from 1 species